rnacentral:rRNA from 1 species
AGCGAACGCUGGCGGCAGGCCUAACACAUGCAAGUCGAACGAACCUUUCGGGGUUAGUGGCGGACGGGUGAGUAACACGUGGGAACGUGCCUUUAGGUUCGGAAUAACUCAGGGAAACUUGUGCUAAUACCGAAUGUGCCCUUCUGGGGAAAGAUUUAUCGCCUUUAGAGCGGCCCGCGUCUGAUUAGCUAGUUGGUUGAGGUAAUGGCUCACCAAGGCGACGAUCAGUAGCUGGUCUGAGAGGAUGAUCAGCCACAUUGGGACUGAGACACGGCCCAAACUCCUACGGGAAGCAGCAGUGGGGAAUCUUGCGCAAUGGGCGAAAGCCUGACGCAGCCAUGCCGCGUGAAUGAUGAAGGUCUUAGGAUUGUAAAAUUCUUUCACCGGGGACGAUAAUGACGGUACCCGGAGAAGAAGCCCCGGCUAACUUCGUG